AAGUCGUAACAAGGUCUCCGUUGGUGAACCAGCGGAGGGAUCAUUAAAGAGUAGUUUUUACAACAACUCCAAACCCAUGUGAACUUACCUAUGUUGCCUCGGCGGGGAAACUACCCGGUAGCUACCCUGUAGUUACCCUGUAAGGACUACCCGUCGGCGGACCAUUAAACUCUGUUUUUCUAUGAAACUUCUGAGUGUUUUAACUUAAUAAAUUAAAACUUUCAACAACGGAUCUCUUGGUUCUG
rnacentral:misc_RNA from 1 species